GCUAUACAUGCAAGUCGAGCGGACAGAUGGGAGCUUGCUCCCUGAUGUUAGCGGCGGACGGGUGAGUAACACGUGGGUAACCUGCCUGUAAGACUGGGAUAACUCCGGGAAACCGGGGCUAAUACCGGAUGGUUGUUUGAACCGCAUGGUUCAAACAUAAAAGGUGGCUUCGGCUACCACUUACAGAUGGACCCGCGGCGCAUUAGCUAGUUGGUGAGGUAACGGCUCACCAAGGCAACGAUGCGUAGCCGACCUGAGAGGGUGAUCGGCCACACUGGGACUGAGACACGGCCCAGACUCCUACGGGAGGCAGCAGUAGGGAAUCUUCCGCAAUGGACGAAAGUCUGACGGAGCAACGCCGCGUGAGUGAUGAAGGUUUUCUGAUCGUAAAGCUCUGUUGUUAGGGAAGAACAAGUACCUUU
rnacentral:rRNA from 2 species